UACGAAGGUGGCAAGCGUUACUCGGAAUUACUAGGCGUAAAGGGCAGGUAGGUGGUUCGGUAAGUCUGUUGUGUAAGCUCCCGGCUUAACUGGAAGAGGUCAACGGAAACUACCGGACUUGAGUAUGGGAGAGGGUUCUGGAAUUCCCGGUGUAGUGGUGAAAUGCGUAGAUAUCGGGAGGAACACCGGUGGCGAAGGCGGGUCUCUGGGCCGAAACUGACGCUGAGGAGCGAAAGCGUGGGGAGCAAACAGG
rnacentral:rRNA from 1 species